CGUAGUCGACCAAAACCAUUGAGCAGUGACCAGUGAGCCAGUGACUAUUUGGCAUUUUGGCUAUAUUCCAGAAGAAAGUCAAAGUACGUCUCACUAGAAAUUGUUUUCGAUAACAAGAAAACUACUUUCUUCAAUCGGCAAAUUUUGUCUAGCAUUUUCUAAAUAACGAGGCAGGAAUUUCAGAUGGCCGUUUACACCAACGCGGGCGACUGGUACCUUCUUAAAAAUCCUGACUGUCACUGGAAGGAAGAAGCAGCACCGCUUUUUGCUGCAUUUAACUUAAUCUAGAUUAUUGGAACAGAUUUAUGAUGUCCGCAUCGAAAGGCAACUGCAUGUAUUCAAGGGCACUAUCAUCAGACCAGCUGAGUAUUUUAUCAUUUAAAAUUUUUUUAAAGUUCUGUCCCACGCUCCAAAGCAAAAUUAUGUUAUGUAUUGAAGUGUGAUUGGAUAUGCAAUCGUAGGUCCGAAAACAGGAACAGGUAAUAUCAACAGUCUUGAUUGCUCAAAAUAUUUGGACAUCUGCCAUUUUUAUUGAUAAACGCCGUUUUGCGGCUCUCCAAGUAAUCCAGUUUUCACCCAAACUCGAUCGAAGUUUUUAUUCCUUCCGGAGUUCUUAGCUCACAUAGUUGAUACAGUGUAAAUUUGUUCGAAAUUUCAUGUAAAUUUUACGAAAAAAAUAUGGGAAACUGUGGGAAAUAUUUGAAUUUCAGCUGUUUCAUUCGGCUGUUCUGCCAUUACCGCAAGCGCAAACCAUUCAACACAAUAUACAGUACCUGUAAAAUUACUUGCGUCUAGAAUAUCAUCACACUACCUUGCCGCUUUAAAAGAUCAUUUUUUCAUAUGCUCUUUAAAAUUAUUUUUCGUGAUAUCUAUAAUAUUUCUGUUUAGACAUCUCUUAAUUACACAAAAACCGACUAAAUACAAUUUUUGGCUCUAAUUUUGCACCUUUUGUAGAGUUAAAAUGCGGUUCAAGAUCCCAGUUGACUGUUAAAUGAAAAGAAUUCAAAAUGACGUUGUUGUUUGUUUCUAUCGUUUCUAUUAAUUUCCAUUAGACGGUACCUAAAGAAAAUGUUAACUCUAGUUGCUUACUGAAGCUGUCCGUCCGUUCGAAUGGAAACUCAUGCCAUACACUUACAACACCGAGCCUGCCAAAGAAACCAUCUGGUGAGAAAACACAAAAAACGCAAACUUUAAAUCAGUCUUCCGACUGCUCCCUCCUCCGAAAUUUGGAAACAAAGAAAGCUGAAAACAGAAAACUCCACAUAAGCUUCAUCUCAGCCAUAAAUCGGAACAAAUUUUUUUUCGUACAGCAACCAAAAUGAUAAAACGUGUAAAACAUUGAAAGAAAAAAAAAAUAAUAAUAAGAUAAAAUAAAUAAAACAAUUUAAAAAAAUUUAAGCAUUCGCACAAGUUUGCAAGCGCCGCAACUGCCAUCUGUUGCGAAACAAAUAAGGGUCUAAUGGCUAAUUUUCGAAAGCAUAAAAUAUAUAAACUUUUUCCCAUACAGGUUUUCUAGCAGAAUUCUUAGAGAAAAUCUUCAAAUAUUUUCACAGCUUUACAGCUUUAACAUAUAUUUUGCUAACAUAACAGUUAGCAGAGAAUUUUUUCGGAUUUUUGUUUUGUUUUCUUCUGGAAAUUUUUUCGAAAAAUUGGGAUCGAGAAAAAACUUUAGCUCUCAGCUUCCACCUUCCAGCGCCCUUGACUAGUACCCUGCUUUCCCCACACAUAAGCUUGUCUCAACUUGGUCUCCGCGAGACGGUCUCGAAGGGUCGAGACCGUCACCCGUACAUCCCAGUGGGACUAUCCCGGCCCUCUGAUUGGCUCUCUCCCUCUCCUCACCCUAUAGCCCCUCCACCCCUUCUGCUUGUGGUGUGUGGCCUUGUGGGGCUGUGGCGUGUGUGGAGUAGUCGGGCUGCCGCCUUCAUUUGUUUGUUUUUCAUGUUUAUUUAUUUAUGAUUAUUUAUGUUUAUAUUUAUUGUUUCUAACUUACUAUUUUGUUAAUAAACUAUUUGUAUCUUCA